GACGAACCGAGCGAACGUUAUUCGGAAUUACUGGGCGUAAAGCGCGCGCAGGCGGUCUUCCAAGUCAGUGGUGAAAGCCCGGAGCUCAACUCCGGAACUGCCAUUGAAACUGUAAGACUUGAGGAUGAGAGAGGUGAGUGGAAUUCCCAGUGUAGAGGUGAAAUUCGUAGAUAUUGGGAAGAACACCGGUGGCGAAGGCGGCUCACUGGCUCAUACCUGACGCUCAGGCGCGACAGCGUGGGGAUCAAACAGG
rnacentral:rRNA from 1 species